CAGAAAAAUGCUUUGAUGGCUGGACCUUUGUUUCAGACAAAUGCUAUCUAUUUGUAUACGAAAAGGUUAAUUGGAAACAAGCUGUGAUUAACUGUGAAGAAUAUGGAGGGCAUUUGGCAAAGAUUGCGAAUGAGUUUGAAAACACAUGGUUGAUAUCUCAAUUAACAGAUGAUGCAUGGAUUGGAUUAAAUGAUAUUACAAAUGAAGGCCAAUGGAAAUGGAUUUCAGACGGUUCUGGAACUAACUAUACCAACUGGUUACUAGGAGAACCUAACGGGUUUUAUAAAGAAAAUUGUGUCAAUUACUGUAAAGAGUAUUGCAGAAAGACAUUGUAUGGAUGGAAUGAUGAAGAAUGUCGCUCGUUGCUAGGAUAUGUAUGUGAACGUUGUAUCUAUUGAGUGUUCGUCUGUGGUCAGUAUUUUGA